AUUGAACGCUGGCGGCAGGCCUAACACAUGCAAGUCGAGCGGAUGAAGGGAGCUUGCUCCUGGAUUCAGCGGCGGACGGGUGAGUAAUGCCUAGGAAUCUGCCUGGUAGUGGGGGAUAACGUCCGGAAACGGGCGCUAAUACCGCAUACGUCCUGAGGGAGAAAGUGGGGGAUCUUCGGACCUCACGCUAUCAGAUGAGCCUAGGUCGGAUUAGCUAGUUGGUGGGGUAAAGGCCUACCAAGGCGACGAUCCGUAACUGGUCUGAGAGGAUGAGCAGUCACACUGGAACUGAGACACGGUCCAGACUCCUACGGGAGGCAGCAGUGGGGAAUAUUGGACAAUGGGCGAAAUCCUGAUCCAGCCAUGCCGCGUGUGUGAAGAAGGUCUUCGGAUUGUAAAGCACUUUAAGUUGGGAGGAAGGGCAGUAAGUUAAUACCUUGCUGUUUUGACGUUACCAACAGAAUAAGCACCGGCUAACUUCGUG
rnacentral:rRNA from 1 species